UGAACUGAAGUGCAGGGCGCCACAAGGCGCGGAAGAUCCGGAGCGCUCUGGGGCACGCCGGGAGUCCAGGCGGAGCUCAGGGGUUUCGGCGGCGCCCCCAAACUCUCGUCCAGAUCAUGUCCAGACCAAGUCCAGCCCCGCGCCGCCGGCGCCUCGGAGCCCGUAGACCGCCUAGGGAGAAGCCGCCUGGCUCCUAGGACACAGAUUGUCCCACGAAAAGAAAUUGAGGCUCCUUAGAGCCUCCUAUCCAAGGCUCCAUCCAGACCUGGAGAUGGAAAUGAAAGAUGAUCCUGAAAUAUCUUGCGACACCAAAAAGCAUAGACAAUUUGGAUUGGAUCAGGAAAACUCAGAAGCCAACAUGAAGAGCCUCCCACUUGCAAAAGGAAGUAUGCCAGCCAGUGAGCAAAAAGGGAAUGAGCGAACAUCACCAGUCUGCAGUUCCUAAUGAUUUAUGGGUGUAGCAAUGGUGACGUCUACUAAUAUCACAAGAAAGACCACCAGACUUUGAAUUUUCCUGAUAGAAGUAAACACCACCAUCUGUGAAGUCGCUCUGUGCCUCCCCCCAACCCCACGACAAAAAGUCAAAACCUUAUAUCUGAUCAAGCUCCUAGAUCUAAUGAAGAAUUUACAAGAAACAGAGGAGGAAAACCAUCACAAAGAGGCAAAAUCAAGGCUAUAGGAAACUCUAGGAGGCAAAUGAUCUGAUCUCUUCAACAAAAUAUUGCAUGAAAAAAACGAGAUGGAAAGGAAAAGAAAGAACCUACAGGUAAAGAGGUAUGAGACACAUCAACCAGUCACAACGGAUAAACUUUACUUGGACCUUGAUUCAAAUAAGCAAUAUAUAUUAAAAAAGAAAUCAAGAACACACAGGAAAGAUACAAAACAAAAAUGCCAAAAUUGACUGGAUAUUUGACGGUACUGAAGAAUUUGUUAUUUUUACAUUUAGGUUUGGUUGUGGUUGUUUUAAAAGGACUGCAUCUUUUAGAAAAGAGCACUGAAAUUUUUGCAAAUAAAAUAUGACAUUUGAGAUUUGCUUCAAAAUAAUCUGGGGGAGGGAGUGGGAAGGAGUACCAUGGGCAAGAUUGGCCCUGUGUUGAAAAAUGUUAAAGCUGGUGCUGAAUUCAUCAGGUUCAUUUUUCUGUUCUCUCUA